GGCUUGAUAGCGGAUGGUCCGCGCCUGUUUGCUGUGCCGAUCGAAGACAUUACACAUGCAGGAAUUUCGGUUCGAUUCCGGGUCAAGUCG